rnacentral:rRNA from 1 species
UCCGGUUGAUCCUGCCAGAGGUUACUGCUAUCGAGGUUCGACUAAGCCAUGCGAGUCGAAUGUAGCAAUACAUGGCGAACUGCUCAGUAACACGUGGACAACCUGCCCUUAGGUUGGGUAUAAACCCGGGAAACUGGGUAUAAUACCCGAUAGGUCUCGAUUGCUGGAAUGCAUCGAGAUUUAAAGCUCCGGCGCCUAAGGAUGGGUCUGCGGCCUAUCAGGUAGUAGUGGGUGUAGCGUACCUACUAGCCUACGACGGGUACGGGUUGUGAGAGCAAGAGCCCGGAGAUGGAUUCUGAGACACGAAUCCAGGCCCUACGGGGUGCAGCAGGCGCGAAAACUUUACAAUGCUGGCAACAGCGAUAAGGGAACCUCGAGUGCCAGGUUACAAAUCUGGCUGUCGAGAUGCCUAAAAAGCAUUUCAUAGCAAGGGCCGGGCAAGACCGGUGCCAGCCGCCGCGGUAACACCGGCGGCUCGAGUGGUAACCGUUAUUAUUGGGUCUAAAGGGUCUGUAGCCGGCCGGAUAAGUCUCUUGAGAAAUCUGGCAGCUUAACUGUCAGGCUUUCAGGAGAUACUGUCUGGCUCGAGGCCGGGAGAGGUGAGAGGUACUUCAGGGGUAGGGGUGAAAUCUUGUAAUCCUUGAAGGACCGCCAGUGGCGAAGGCGUCUCACCAGAACGGACCUGACGGCAAGGGACGAAAGCUAGGGGCACGAACCGGAUUAGAUACCCGGGUAGUCCUAGCCGUAAACGAUACUCGCUAGGUGUCGGCCACGGUGCGACCGUUGUCGGUGCCGUAGGGAAGCCGUGAAGCGAGCCACCUGGGAAGUACGGCCGCAAGGCUGAAACUUAAAGGAAUUGGCGGGGGAGCACCACAACGGGUGGAGCUUGCGGUUUAAUUGGAUUCAACGCCGGAAAUCUUACCGGGACCGACAGCAAUAUGAAGGCCAGGCUGAAGACUUUGCCGGAUUAGCUGAGAGGUGGUGCAUGGCCGUCGUCAGUUCGUACUGUGAAGCAUCCUGUUAAGUCAGGUAACGAGCGAGACCCA